rnacentral:lncRNA from 1 species
CUUUCAGAAGCAGUUUGCUGCUUCUCCAAGGUUCAUUGCAUAUGCUAGAUAACUAAUAGGCCAUCAGUUAAUAUUUGUGGGUCGAUUGAGUUCAUCUAGUUUGUAGUGAGGUGUGCCUCCCGACUCCCUUUUGCUCCCAAGUGCAUGGGAGAAGUAAAAUGCUCUAGGGAGUGGAACAAGAAUUGAGUGGAUGCAGACUCUGUGCCAACCUCCUCAACUGAUUCAUAAUGGCUGACCUUGGGCAAGUCACUCCUUUCAAUGCCUCAGUUCCCCAUCUGUCAAAUGGGGGUAAUAAUACUGACUACCUCACAGGGGUGUUGUGAGGCAUUGUAAAUCAAAAUUGAUAGAAUACUUUAGGGUCCUCAAUGGAGGACGCCUUGAGCCGAAAUCCAGGCCUGCCAUAGGCUUUUGUCCUCACUGAGCUGUCCCAAGGUUGGAACUACUUAGUGACCUCGGCAAGUUCUCUGCCCCCCACCCCUCAUCAAAGCUGCUAGUUCAGAUGUUGACAGUGUUUUCAAGAAUGUUGGCGUCUUUUGAUAGUCCAGACUGACUUAGGAUGUUAUGGGGGAAGGCACUUAGUAUUUUCUAUGGCUUGCAUCCACAAAGAGAGGCUGUUUGAGACCCAAGAGCAUUGGAUUAGGGAAUCAGGGAUGCUCCUGCUUGUUUCUCUGCAGGUUGGGAACUAAGGUCCUGUACCCCAUGGACUUGGAACAGACUUGGGCCGUCUUGGGAGCAAAGUGCACACAUGGCGGCACCAGGCGGUUCUCUGGAGGAUGGAGAGAGCACAGUCUGACAUCCUGCCAAGCAGCCAGGAGUUGAUACGCCCAUGGCCCGCAGGCCUUCCCUCCCCUUCCCUCAGGAUGGGAUCGAAUAGACAUGAGAGGCUGGGUUUCAGCGCUCUGUACCAUCCUGAGUAGCAAACAAAUCACACUUUGUAGCCAGAUUUCUGAAUGGAAAAGUGGAAAAUUGAAUUCUCUAUGGACCUUUUUGGUUUGUGGGGGAGUUUUGGUUGUGUUUCCUGAGAUAGCUCAUCCACUCAUGAUUUCCACCAUCGCUUAUGAUAAGGCUCAUGACCGCCAAACCUGUGAGUGGUCUCUUGGGCCUCAACUCUUUCUCUGUCCUCUAAGUGUCACUUGCCUUCUGUGGCCUCCUCUUGAGUAUCCUGGAGACUUGUCAAAGCAAAGAGCUUUACAGAUGGAGUGACACGUUGUCCCUGCCUUCUGGAGCUGAGACAGAGUUCCUGCUGGGGGAUGGCAGUGACAUCUACAGACUUUCUGCAAGAUGGCCAGUGAACAAGGAUGUAAACAUAAUUUAAAAGAUGACAUGAGGGAGUUCCUGCUGUGGCUUAGCAGAAACGAAUAUCACUAGUAUCCAUGAGGACGUGGGUUCAAUCCCUGGCCUUGCUCAGUGGGUUAAUGAUCUGGUGUUGCCGUGAGCUGUGGUGUAGUUCACAGACGCGACUUGGAUCCUGUGUUGUGGUUGUGGUGUAGGCCGGCAGCUACAGCUCCAUCCCCUAGCCUGGGAACCUCCAUAUGCCUCAGGGGUGGCCCUAAAAUAGCAAAACAAACAAAAACCAAAUUAAAAAAAAAAAAAGCAAAACAUGGAGUUCCUGUCAUGACUCAGAGGUU